rnacentral:rRNA from 1 species
UAGAGUUUGAUCCUGGCUCAGGGUGAACGUUCGUAGCGUGGAUAAGGCAUGCAAAUCGUACGGUUCUAAGAUAGAUUUAUCUAUCUUAGAAUACGUGGUAAACGGGGCAGUAAUGCAUACCUAAUCUACCCCAAGGAUAGACAUAACCUCCUAAAGGAGACUAAUGUCUAAUAAUAAUAUCUCUACACAAGUAGAGAUAUUUAAAGGAUAAGAGUAUUCUUAUCCGCCUUGGGAGGAGGGUAUGUUCGAUCAGCUAGUUGGUGAGGUAAUGGCUCACCAAGGCUAUGACCGAUAGGGGGUCUGAGAGGAUGUUCCCCGCCAAGGGCACUGAGACACGGGCCCUACUCCUACGGGAGGCAGCAGCCGAGAAUAUUGGGCAAUGGGCGAAAGCCUGACCCAGCGACGCUACGUGCCAGAAGAAGCUCUUCGGAGUGUAAAUGGCUUUUCUGCAGGAUGAAGCCUUAUGUUUUUUAACAUAAGGUUGACAGUACUGCAGGAAUAAGGGACGACUAACUUCGUGCCAGCAGUCGCGGUAAGACGAAGGUCCCAAACGUUACCCGGAUUUACUGGGCGUAAAGGAUGAGAAGGCGGAGAUAAAAGUUCUACUUUAAAUCUUAACCGCCCAACGGUUAAGCAGGGUAGAAUACUUUAUCUCUAGAAGAUACCAGAAGCUAACGGAACGUACGGUGUAGGGGUGAAAUCCGUUGAUAUCGUACGGAACGCCGAAGGCGAAGGCAGUUAGCUAUGGUAUUCUUGACGCUGAUCUCAUGAAAGCUAGGGGCGCAAACCGGAUUAGAUACCCGGGUAGUCCUAGCUGUAAACUAUGGAUGCUAACUCUGGCGAGAUUCGACCCUCGCUGGGGUAAAGCUAACGCGUUAAGCAUCCCGCCUGGGGAGUACGUUCGCAAGAACGAAACUCAAAGGAAUAGGCGGAAGGCUGCACAAGCGGUGGACCAUGUGGUUUAAUUCGACAGUAACCGAAAAAUCUUACCUGGGCUUGACAUAAUAGUCUUAAUACCUUUUCCGAAAGGAAAAGGGAUCUAGGGUUUACCUAGAGGGCUAUUACAGGUGCUGCAUGGCCGUCGUCAGCUCGUGAUGUGAAUCGUAACCUUAAGUGGCACAACGAGCGCAACCCCUAUCCUAUGUUAUAUGUGUCAUAGGAGACUGCCAACCAAAAGUUGGAGGAAGGUGGGGAUGACGUCAGGUCCGCAUGGCCCUUAUGCCCAGGGCAACACACAUGGUACAAUGCUGAAGACAACGGGAAGCGAAACCGCAAGGUGGAGCAAAUCCCUUAAACUUCAGCUCAGUUCGGAUUGAGGACUGAAACUCAUCCUCAUGAAGCCGGAAUCGCUAGUAAUCGCCAAUCAGCUAUGUGGCGGUGAAUACGUUCUCAGCCUUUGCACUCACUGCCCGUCAGGUCAGGAGAGUUGUUUCCACCUGAAAGCCUAAUUUU